CCCUUAGAUGUCCUGGGCCGCACGCGCGCUACAAUGACACGUUCAACAAGUUCUAUCCUGGCCUGGAAAGGUGCGGGUAAUCUUUUUAGUACGUGUCGUGUUAGGGAUCGAUCUUUGGAAUUAUAGAUCUUGAACGAGGAAUUCCUAGUAAGUGCAAGUCAUCAGCUUGUACUGAUUACGUCCCUGCCCUUUGUACACACCGCCCGUCGCUCCUACCGAUCGAAGAGUUAGGUGAAUUGUUUUGAUCGAUAAGAUUUGACUAUGGUCAACUCUCGUUGUGAAAUUCUGUGAAUCUGACUGUUUAGAGGAAGGAAAAGUCGUAACA
rnacentral:rRNA from 1 species